rnacentral:tRNA from 1 species
CAAAUUAAAUCUAAAUUUUAGAAUUUCAUUUACAUUGAAUUUUUAGUUGUUAAAUUCAACUUAAUUUGA